UACGGAGGGUGCAAGCGUUAAUCGGAAUUACUGGGCGUAAAGCGUGCGUAGGCGGUUCGUUAAGUCUGCUGUGAAAGCCCCGGGCUCAACCUGGGAAUGGCAGUGGAUACUGGCGAGCUAGAGUGUGUCAGAGGAUGGUGGAAUUCAUGGUGUAGCAGUGAAAUGCGUAGAGAUCAUGAGGAAGACCAGUGGCGAAGGCGGGUCUCUGGACAGUUCCUGACACUGAGACACGAAGGCCAGGGGAGCAAACGGG
rnacentral:rRNA from 1 species